AUUGAACGCUAGCGGGAUGCUUUACACAUGCACGUCGAACGGCAGCGCGGACUUCGGUCUGGCGGCGAGUGGCGAACGGGUGAGUAAUGUAUCGGAACGUGCCCAGUAGCGGGGGAUAACUACGCGAAAGCGUAGCUAAUACCGCAUACGCCCUACGGGGGAAAGCAGGGGAUCGUAAGACCUUGCACUAUUGGAGCGGCCGAUAUCGGAUUAGCUAGUUGGUGAGGUAACGGCUCACCAAGGCGACGAUCCGUAGCUGGUUUGAGAGGACGACCAGCCACACUGGGACUGAGACACGGCCCAGACUCCUACGGGAGGCAGCAGUGGGGAAUUUUGGACAAUGGGGGCAACCCUGAUCCAGCCAUCCCGCGUGUGCGAUGAAGGCCUUCGGGUUGUAAAGCACUUUUGGCAGGAAAGAAACGUCGCGGGCUAAUACCCCGUGGAACUGACGGUACCUGCAGAAUAAGCACCGGCUAACUACGUG
rnacentral:rRNA from 1 species